GGUGGAGAUGGAGAAGAAGGGGUUGUGAUUCGGUGAUGGGUUACAACUGCACGGAGUCGGCGAUGUGAUGGUCUGAGAACAGCGGCGAUUAAAGAGUGAAGGUGGUCUGAGAAGAAGAGGUUGCGAGAGAGAAGAGGAUACAGAUUGUGGUUAUGAGAGAGAAGCAGUGGAUUAAAGAGUGGUUGUAGUUUUGAGGUAAAAUUACCAAGAUACCCAUACCACAUAGGAUGGUACAAGAGUGGUACAAACAAAAGGGUGUCAACUUAUAUUUACUC
rnacentral:lncRNA from 1 species